ACUGCUUCAAGUUCUCAUAAUUCAAAACGAAAAGUUUAUGGAAGUUUUUCAAAUGUAACUUAUCUUUUUGAAUUAUGAGAACUUGAAGCAUAC
rnacentral:pre_miRNA from 1 species